CAAUAGCGUAUAUUAAAGUUGUUGCAGUUAAAAAGCUCGUAGUUGGAGUUCAGAGUGAGCUCGUCCGGUCGGCCUUAUGGGUCAGAACUGGUUGACUCUCUCUUGUUUGUGGAUCCUGUCAGCAGUUAACUCUGUUGAUGUGGAGUCCACAUCGUUUACCUUGAAAAAAUUAGAGUGUUCAAAGCAGGCUUAUGCCGUUGAAUACAUUAGCAUGGAAUAAUAAGAUAGGACUUUGGCGUCUAUUUUGUUGGUUUUGCACACCAAGGUAAUGAUUAAUAGGGAUAGUUGGGGGUAUUCGUAUUUCAUUGUCAGAGGUGAAAUUCUUGGAUUUAUGAAAGAUGAACUUCUGCGAAAGCAUUUGCCAAGGAUGUUUUCAUUAAUCAAGAACGAAAGUUAGGGGAUCGAAGAUGAUCAGAU
rnacentral:rRNA from 1 species